AUUGAACGCUGGCGGCAUGCCUUACACAUGCGAGUCGAACGGCAGCACGGGAGCAAUCCUGGUGGCGAGUGGCGAACGGGUGAGUAAUAUAUCGGAACGUGCCCAGUCGUGGGGAUAACGUAGCGAAAGCUACGCUAAUACCGCAUACGAUCUAUGGAUGAAAGCGGGGGAUCGCAAGACCUCGCGCGAUUGGAGCGGCCGAUAUCAGAUUAGGUAGUUGGUGAGGUAAAGGCUCACCAAGCCAACGAUCUGUAGCUGGUCUGAGAGGACGACCAGCCACACUGGGACUGAGACACGGCCCAGACUCCUACGGGAGGCAGCAGUGGGGAAUUUUGGACAAUGGNGCAAGCCUGAUCCAGCAAUGCCGCGUGCAGGAUG
rnacentral:rRNA from 1 species